GGCCCUUGAAGUGGAGAUUUCGUGUCAUCCAUACGCCCACGUGGUCAAAAGAGAUGCAGGGGAACGGCACGCCUGCCAAGGGCU
rnacentral:ncRNA from 1 species